rnacentral:hammerhead_ribozyme from 1 species
AUCCGGGUGACGAGUCCCGAAUAGGACGAAAAGCGCGUCGUGGAU